GUUAUUGUAGCUUAUCUCAAAGCAUGGCACUGAAGUUGCCAAGAUGGGUGAAAAUGCAUCCCAAAAACA
rnacentral:tRNA from 1 species